GAGGUUCCUUUUCCAGUAGAGAAUGCCCUGGGCCUCCGGGAUGGCAGUACCCAGCCUCCUUAUUCAAGGUACGCUGAGGACCUCCAGAGCCGACUGGACGUCGCAGCUCGGACGGCUCGGGAGAACUUGGACGUCGCAAGGUUGGACCAGGCUCGCCAGUACAACCGUGGACGACGGAAUCUCACCUACAGCGUCGGUGAUCUUGUCCUUCGACGGACUCACCCGCUUAGUGAUGCGUCACGUGGCUUUGCAGCUUCGCUCGCAGAUAGGUGGGAUGGCCCCUUCGAGCGGCCAUGCCUCCCCAAAGAAAGCGUAGUCGCGGGCCUGGACGCUCUCCAGGAUCUAGUUCAUCUACCGCCCGGCCUCAGGUACCGAGCCGAUCCGAGCCACCAACUCACCGGUCAGUGGCUACAUGGACCGUCGUAGCGGGAGACAGACCGGUAUCAUGGGCCUCCCGCUCUCGCUGGACCUCUCAACCGCGCCCGCUUCGCACCGACGACCCGGCGAAAGUGCCUCAACCUUUCAGAGGUCUGUUGUUGACAGACCGACACCUCAAUGACCCCCCGAUUCCGCUGACUGCGGAGGAAAAGAGACUUCUGUGUCCUCUGUGUCAAGUCCCUGAGCUGCACCGUCGAACACAUCGACAAGGACCGCUUCACCGAGCUAGGCAACAGUCCAACAGCGGGGACGUGGCCUCAGCGCUAGAGACAUUGAGGAGGCACAGGCCCGACCUCUUAAGGCCUUCCUCCCCACCGAACCCUGGGGACGACGUGGUCCUGGAGUUCGAUGACGACGACCUCUAAACAUUCUAAAGUUUUCGGUUGUCAAACUGGGUUCGACGUUUUGCGGUGGGGGAAGUGUGGGGCGAAGUAGAGGAAGAAGUUUGGACGUUGCGGGACGACGAGGAAGUGAGAGACUUGGGGGUAAAAGGAGAACGACGAGGGGUUUGUGUGGUCAGUGUGGACGUGGAAGCGGAGAAGAAAAGACGCUGUAAGAUGUAAGUCAUUAAAACAGUGGUUGUUGAGUAUA